rnacentral:rRNA from 1 species
UCGGGAAUUUUGGGCAAUGGGCGAAAGCCUGACCCAGCAACGCCGCGUGAAGGAUGAAAUCCCUCGGGAUGUAAACUUCGCAAGAAUGGGAAGAAUUAGUAGGGGUUAAUACCCUCUAUGAUGACGGUACCAUUUGUAAGCUCCGGCUAACUCCGUGCCAGCAGCCGCGGUAAUACGGGGGGAGCAAGCGUUGUUCGGAUUUACUGGGCGUAAAGGGCGCGUAGGCGGUCAGCACAAGUCAGUUGUGAAAUCUCCGGGCUUAACUCGGAAAGGUCAACUGAUACUGUGCGACUAGAGUGCAGAAGGGGCAACUGGAAUUCUCGGUGUAGCGGUGAAAUGCGUAGAUAUCGAGAGGAACACCUGCGGCGAAGGCGGGUUGCUGGGCUGACACUGACGCUGAUGCGCGAAAGCCAGGGGAGCGAACGGGAUUAGAUACCCCGGUAGUCCUGGCCUUAAACGAUGGAUGCUUGGUGUCUGGAGUUUUAUAGUCUCCGGGUGCCGUAGCUAACGCGUUAAGCAUCCCGCCUGGGGAGUACGGUCGCAAGACUGA